ACGGAGGAUCCAAGCGUUAUCCGGAUUCAUUGGGUUUAAAGGGUCCGUAGGCGGGUCUUUAAGUCAGUGGUGAAAGCCGACAGCUCAACUGUCGAACUGCCAUUGAUACUGGAGACCUUGAGUACAAAUGAAGUAGGCGGAAUGAGUCAUGUAGCGGUGAAAUGCAUAGAUAUGACUCAGAACACCGAUUGCGAAGGCAGCUUACUAACAUGUAACUGACGCUGAGGGACGAAAGCGUGGGGAGCGAACAGG
rnacentral:rRNA from 1 species